AUUGAACGCUGGCGGCAGGCCUAACACAUGCAAGUCGAGCGGAUGAAGGGAGCUUGCUCCUGGAUUCAGCGGCGGACGGGUGAGUAAUGCCUAGGAAUCUGCCUGGUAGUGGGGGAUAACGUCCGGAAACGGGCGCUAAUACCGCAUACGUCCUGAGGGAGCAAGUGGGGGUUCUUCGGACCUCACGCUAUCAGAUGAGCCUAGGUCGGAUUAGCUAGUUGGUGGGGUAAAGGCCUACCAAGGCGACGAUCCGUAACUGGUCUGAGAGGAUGAUCAGUCACACUGGAACUGAGACACGGUCCAGACUCCUACGGGAGGCAGCAGUGGGAAAUAUUGGACAAUGGGCGAAAGCCUGAACCAGCCAUGCCGCGUGUGUGAAGAAGGGCUUCGGAUUGUAAAGCACUUUAAGUUGGGAGGAAGGGAAGUAAGUUAAGACCUUGCUGUUUUGACGUUACCAACAGAAUAAGCACCGGCUAACUUCGU
rnacentral:rRNA from 1 species